UCCAAUUCCGACCUGAAUUUUUUCGGUCCCCUUGCUUCGUUUAGUAGUGGCUAGUACUAUUACUACUAGGAGCUAACCAACUCACAAAGCAAAGAGAUUAUUGCGUUGCCUGCCUAAUUCACAUUGAGCUGUACAGUACCAACCAAUGCUAUAGAGUACCCGAUAGUUAAUGGUCUACAGGGCUCAAUCUUGAUUUCGUACGCAGAUGAGAACAGCGCCCAUUCUGCAGCUGAAAUCUGGGCAGUCAGCAUGGAUGAGAAGGGGACAUCAUCAGUUCCGAAGAAGAGAUCUGGGCUGCCCAUGCGGGAUUGGGAUGGCCCAGAGACGUACUCCUCCACAUUCUCGGGGACCCAUAUUUUGCUUUCGCACCGGCCGAUUAAUGAUCCGUAUCCAAGGAAGUCAGAGACAGCAUAUGCGCCCAGACGAGGGCACGACGCGAGCGGCUCUAUUGCCCCCACCGUGGCCUCUCUUCGCGCCAUCUGUUCUGCCGGCAGUUUCCUUUUCACGUACCGCCUCGUACUGUCAACCAUGCUGGCCUGACCGAGCGUUCAGAAGCUCCGGCAAGUGAAAGCAUGGGUAGCCGUCAACGAUCAAAAUCGCACUGAAUAGACACAUCAGAGAGAUCGACGGGCAAGAGUGCAAGACAACAAGUUACAACCAUGCAGAUGAUCAGUAUGGUGUCUUGACUCUUCGUGGCUU